rnacentral:rRNA from 1 species
AGCGAACGCUGGCGGCAGGCCUAACACAUGCAAGUCGAACGAGCCUUCGGGCUAGUGGCGGACGGGUGAGUAACACGGGGGAACGUACCUUUAGGUUCGGAAUAACUCAGGGAAACUUGAGCUAAUACCGGAAGUGCCCUUCGGGGGAAAGAUUGAUCGCCUUUAGAGCGGCCCGCGUUAGAUUAGCUAGUUGGUGGGGUAAUGGCCCACCAAGGCUACGAUCUAUAGCUGGUCUGAGAGGAUGAUCAGCCACACUGGGACUGAGACACGGCCCAGACUCCUACGGGAUGCAGCAGUGGUGAAUCUUGCGCAAUGGGCGAAAGCCUGACGCAGCCAUGCCGCGUGAAUGAUGAAGGUCUUAGGAUUGUAAAAUUCUUUUAGCAGGGACGAUAAUGACGGUACCUGCAGAAAAAGCCCCGGCUAACUUCGUGCCAGCCGCCGCUGUAA